rnacentral:rRNA from 1 species
CGCCUCUUGAAAUAUAUAAGAGGUCCCGCCUGCCCAGUGACCUAGUUAAACGGCCGCGGUAUCCUGACCGUGCGAAGGUAGCGUAAUCACUUGUCUUUUAAAUAGAGACUAGUAUGAACGGCAUCACGAGGGUUACUCUGUCUCCUCCCCCUGAUCAAUGAAACUAAUUUUCCCGUGAAGAAGCGGGAAUGCUUAUAUAAGACGAGAAGACCCUAUGGAGCUUUAAACAAAGUAAUAUCUGCUUUUCCUUUUUUUCCCCCAGGACAAUAACCACCAUUUUAGCAUUAUAAUUACUAGUUUUCGGUUGGGGCGACCGUGGAGCACAAACUAACCUCCAUGAUGAACCAGCAUUGGCCUAAACAAAAAGCUACGACUUUAUGUAUCAGAAGACUGACAUAAAUUGACCCAAAAUUUUGAUCAACGAACCAAGUUACCCUAGGGAUAACAGCGCAAUCCACUUCGAGAGUUCAUAUCGAAAAGUGGGCUUACGACCUCGAUGUUGGAUCAGGGUAUCCCAGUGGUGCAGCCGCUACUAAAGGUUCGUUUGUUCAACGAUUAAAACCCU